ensembl:lncRNA
AUCAACAGCUCUUUUAAAAAGUUGUUAUAACCUAUAGGAAUCAUAAUAGCUGAAACUUAUUAUAAGUGACUUCAACUAAAUGGCUGAAGAAGUAAGCUAUCUUAAAUUGUCCUUUUUAUUUAAAAAUAAAGUUCAAACAGCAACAAAUAUAGUGUGCUUAAAAUGGAAACAUCCACAGUAUCAUUGUUUCAGUUGAAUCAGAAUUCCAUCAAAAACAGCAGAAAUCACUUGUAAUCAUUUGAAUCAAUUUGUACUCUUGAAACAUUUGAAUUCACUUACUGAGCUUCCCUCAUAGCUCAGUUGGUUAAAAAAAAUCUGUCUACAAUGCAGGAGACCCAGGUUCAAUCCCUGUGUCAGGAAGGUGCCCUGGAGAAGGAUAUGGCAACACAUUCCAGUAUUCUUGCCUGGGAAAUCCCAUGGACAGAGGAGCCUGGCAGGCUACAGUCCAUGCAGUCACAAGUCAGACAUGACUUAGCGACUAAACCACCACCACCAUCUAGCUCAUGGAGAUCUUGAAAGGCUUAUCGAAUGGGUACGUAGAGCAUCCCAAGCUGUCAGCUCCUCACAGCCUCUCUCGGACCACUGGCGAUGGUAGGUGAUGACUGGCGUGUGUACAGUACUUUUCAGGGCACACAGCACCACAGCCACCAGUAGGAGGAUCUGCUCACGUGGCCUUAUUACUAUCACCCUUAAUUUGGCUGUCUGACCCUAUUUUAUUUUUUAAAAUUUAUUUUUAAAUUGCUGACCCUUUUUUCUGAGAAGAAAUGCAAGAGUAGAACCCUAAACAUUCACUGGAGACAAAACUAUACAGUGAGAGAGUUCACGUCAAUCUUGCUUUCAACGAACCACAUGGUUGCCAGUUUUCUGGAAGAGCAGCACCACAAAGGAGACUUAAAAGCGCCUCUGCCUGAGGGAAGUCUCAUUCCAGGCAUCACUUGUGAAUCCCUGCCCUUCCACCAGGUGGCAGCGGUUGUCGGGAGGUUGUUAAAGCUAUGCAAGCGAUCAGACAUGGGCUGGGAGCACCCCUUUGGGUAUGAUCUGGUGAGGAGGCAUACAUCUUUCCUCUACUGUAAACAGUGUUUAUGGACAUGGAAGGAAUGCAAGUGCCCCCAAAGAAAGCCUGUUCUAAAUCUGAUUAGGCUAUUGGAACAACGAUUCGCUUACACGAGAGUUUAUACUUGGAGUUCUUCUAAUCUUAUCCUUUCAGUCAACCUUUCAACAAAUAUUGAGCCUUCUAAGAGCCUUACUGUUCUGAGGGCCAUGGCAAUAAAGAAAGCAGUCAAAACCCCUUGGGGGCAAUGGAGCUUCUAUUCCUGUCUACUAAGACAGUGGAGGCCAUCUCCUGUUAAUUUCUUCAAUCUAAUGGAUGGAUGACUUCCUCCUUUCCAAAGCUCUUGGGCCCUCAACCUGAACGAGUGCUGUGCUCCGGCACACCUGACUCUUUGCGACCCUAUGGACUGCAGCCUGCCAGGCUCCCCUGUCCAUUGGGUUCUCCAGGCAAGAAUACUGGAAGGGGUUGCCAUGCCCUGCUCCAAGGGAUGUUUCUGACUCAGGGAUCAAACCCGCGUCUCCUGCAUUGGCAGGUGGAUUCUUCCCCACUGAGCCACCUGGGAAGCCGCUCAACCUGACUCCUAUUCUUCUAAUAACCGUCACUUGCAGGUUCACUGGCUCCUCACAUCUUGAUGACAAAUGUACUAAUACUUGUGGUAAAAGAAAAAAAUAAGAUGACUAAACCCUUCCAUUGAUUCCCUUGCCUUCCUUAGGCUGCUGAGAUCUCUCAUUUUAUGAUCAAAUCUCUUUAGAAGUCUCAUUUCUAAAUGAAGGAAGCUCAUUUGCUUCAACUUCCUCAUCAUGCACUUACCUUCUAAAUCCUGCCUUCCCCAUACGCAUGAUGGCUAAAUUCUGUAUAAUUCAGAUCAGAACUUGAAGGAAAGAGAAAACCACCAGGAAAGCAGGAUGGUGAGCAAAAUGGUUCUGAUCAAGGAAGCCAAGUGUUGUAGGUAAAAAAUUAAUUACCUGUUAAUUAUCUGAGAGCUUCCUGUGUGCACACAGCAUUGUGCCAGGCAUUUCAGGUUUCUAAAGAAAUGUCAAAAGUGACCUCUGAUAAAAGCCUACCAAGAAAGGUCAUCUGGAGGCUGCAUAACGGUAACUAAGCCAAGAGGGGAAGCAGGAGGGCAAUGACACAAAACUGGUAACAACAGAAGGGCAUGAACCAUCUGGAUGUACUUCAUUGGUGGUGGUGGGAAGCAAUCUUGGACGGCAUCAUGGAGAAGAAAGACUGGAAAAAUCCACGUAGUAGGAAGAGAACAGAGGAAAAGGGAACAUCAUGAAUUCAGAAUGAACCUAAUGAAUUUUGCGAACAGGGAAACAAUGAUGUUUUAGAAUUGUUUCAGUCAUGAGCAGCAGUCACUCAAUUUGAACGACCAAAGAAAACAAGGACAUUACCAACUUGAGUUGCUGAAAAGGCCUUGGCAGCAGGACAAAAGAUGUUGUUUUACAUUUCUCAGCUUUAUUUUUCUUCACUCAAGCAGUGGAAAGACAGAAGCUCUAGAUAUUAUCGUACCAGCUCAGCAAACUAAAGAAGGGGAGCACUUCUUUCCCCAAAGACCCAGGGCCAACUCUAAUUGGCUCAGCGUAUAUCACAUCCUCCUAGCUGAACCAAUCACUGUGGCUGGGCCAUGUGGUGCUUUCAUUGGCCUGGCCUGAAUCAGGUUCCUUCAUCUGUUUAGUGCUAGCCUAUGUCCCAACUUUCCACUUGUGUACUUUGCCCAGAUUUUACUCUAUAUCUUCGAAUCAGCUGGCCCCUAUGUGUGAAACACUUCUCCUAAAAAUUCUCAUUAGCUUGUCAACAUUUUCAUUACUUUGCAUCUUAUCACCGCCAAUGUUUCCCGCUGAAAAAGACUGAGGUUACAAUUCUUCAACUAAUGCCCUUUCCGAUUUAAGGCCUGUGAAUACCAACCUCGUACUAGUGUAAAAAUAUAUUUAAUUAUUCAUGAGUCUGACAAGAUCUGCUGUGUUCAGUUGAUUUGUUGUUUGUAAUUCACUGAGUUUCAAUCUGAAUGUUUGUCUAUAUUGAACACUUAGGUUUUAGCCUAUAGGCUGUUCAUGCAAAGGAUGCCUUGCUGACAUAGCACUCAGCAAUCCAACGAUGUUCAAUUUUCAUUGUGUCAAUGGCAUUUUCAAUCCUGUGGACUUUGCCAUCCAUUAUGCUAUAAUAAUGGCAGAAAUUCUGAACUCUAUUAUGGCAUAAAAUUUCUAUAUUAUUUAAG